rnacentral:tRNA from 1 species
GUUUUGAUAAUUUAAUUUAAAAUAUUGAUCUUGUAAAUCAAACUUGAGGAAACUCUCAAAACU